rnacentral:rRNA from 1 species
CUCAAAUUUGAAAUCUGGCACCUUCGGUGUCCGAGUUGUAAUUUGAAGAAGGUAACUUUGGAGUCAGCUCUUGUCUAUGUUCCUUGGAACAGGACGUCACAGAGGGUGAGAAUCCCGUGCGAUGAGAUGUCUGAUUCUAUGUAAAGUGCUUUCGAAGAGUCGAGUUGUUUGGGAAUGCAGCUCUAAGUGGGUGGUAAAUUCCAUCUAAAGCUAAAUAUUGGCGAGAGACCGAUAGCGAACAAGUACAGUGAUGGAAAGAUGAAAAGAACUUUGAAAAGAGAGUGAAAAAGUACGUGAAAUUGUUGAAAGGGAAGGGUUUGAGAUCAGACUUGGUAUUUUGUAUGUCUUGCUUUCGGGUGGGGCCUCUACAGUUUACUGGGCCAGCAUCGGUUUGGACGGUAGGAUAAUGACAUUGGAAUGUGGCACCACUUCGGUGGUGUGUUAUAGACUUUGUUGAUACUGCCUGUCUAGACCGAGGACUGCGUCUUUGACUAGGAUGCUGGCAUAAUGAUCUUAAACCGCCC